GUGCCAGCCGCCGCGGUAAUACGGAGGGGGCUAGCGUUGUUCGGAAUUACUGGGCGUAAAGGGCGCGUAGGCGGCUAUUCAAGUUGGGGGUGAAAUCCCGGGGCUUAACCCCGGAACUGCCUCCAAAACUGGGUAGCUAGAGACCGACAGAGGUAAGCGGAAUUUCCAGUGUAGAGGUGAAAUUCGUAGAUAUUGGAAAGAACACCAGUGGCGAAGGCGGCUUACUGGGUCGGUACUGACGCUGAGGCGCGAAAGCGUGGGGAGCAAACAGGAUUAGAUACCCUGGUAGUCCACGCCGUAAACGAUGAGUGCUAGUUGUUGGGGGGCUUAGCCCCUCAGUGACGCAGCUAACGCAUUAAGCACUCCGCCUGGGGAGUACGGUCGCAAGAUUAAAACUCAAAGGAAUUGGCGGGG
rnacentral:rRNA from 1 species